AAAACCAUGCAACAAGGAAACUACAUAUAUGUUAGUCCAUUCUUUACGUCAAUUCUCUUUAAAGCAAACUCUUCGCUCCUCAAUUUCUAUUUUACUCUGCCUAAACACUUCCCCUCUUCAGUCACCAUCAGAUCAAACAUGCUGAAAACAACCACAACGGCGACCUUUCUCUGUUUCGUUCUCGCCACCGUGGUUCUGAUGAACCCAACUUCCUCCACCGCCACAUACAGCCCAACUUCCUCCGCCUCCACAGACACGUUCAUAUUGGCAAAGUGUUCUCCGGAAAAGUUCUCUCCUGGCUCAGCCUACGAGACCAACCUCAACUCCCUCCUCUCUUCCCUCGUUAGCUCCACCGUCGCCAGCCGCUACAAUAACCUCACCGUUCCCUCCGGCACCGGAACAAAAUCCGAACCGGCCGUUGUAUAUGGUCUUUUCCAGUGCAGCGUUGACCUAGACGCAACUUCUUGCUCAUCGUGCGUAUCACGUGCCACAGCACUGGUCGGAAACACAUGUCCCAACUCGUACUCAGUGUUCUUGGAGAUGCAAAGUUGUCUGGUCCGGUUCGACAAGAGCUCGUUCUUUGGCGUUCAGGACAAAACAGAGAUGCUCAAGAAAUGUGGACAGCCGAUGGGAAAUAACGACCAGGAUGCGUUGACCAGAGUCAGUGACGUCAUGGGUUCGUUAAGUUCAGGGAGUGGAUCUGACAGGUCUGGAGGGAACGGGGAUGUUCGGGGUAUGGCUCAGUGCAUGGGUGAUCUAAGUCCAGCACAGUGUCAGGAUUGCUUGACUGAUGCAAUCGGACGGCUCAGUUCUGACUGUGGUAUGUCCCAGGGAGGAUACGUUUACUUGUCCAAGUGCUACGCGCGUUUUAGCUACGGUGGUAGUCACGCUCGUCAGACGCCAACUCAAACUUUGGUCAGAUUUCUUUAUUUUAAAAGAGGAGAUAAAGACGAUAAAAUAAUGACGGCAUCGGGAAAACAUUGGCGAUAAUUAUUGGGAUUAUCACCUUAGUCAUCUUGCUCGUUGUGUUUCUCGCUUUUCUUGGAAAGCAAUUGAGAAAAUUACAAGACGAGAAAUGUUGUAAAUGAAAAGUCAACGUGGGAAAGAGGUCAAUCAACCACGAGUCAAGCCAUGCAAUGCUAGUUGUAUUUUGGUAAUUAAAAAAUUUGUGACUGGAUGCCUCACAAGAUGUAGUUAUAUAGUAUUUCAACGUUUGUAUUUUGUACUUGAUUUUUGUAUUAUCAUCGGACUUUAGCCAGAAAACAUAUACUAAUGGAUAAUACUCCCUCCGUUUCUUAUUAA